GUCACCAAUCUCAGAUUCAAGCUUGGCUGUAUGAGCUUCAACUCCUUUCCCUAUUCCAUUCAGAAACUCGGGAAUUCCAACCUUCACGAUGUAAGCUGGAGAUUUGGAGAAGAAUCUGUAGAAACCAGGCGUUGAAUUUGUUUGUGGGAGUGAAACUAUCCUUGUGUUAGUGAUUAUUUGCCUCCACGCCAUCUUCGAAACUCUCUGUCUCUG
rnacentral:misc_RNA from 1 species